AUUGAACGCUGGCGGCAUGCCUUACACGUGCAAGUCGAACGGUAACAGGUCUUCGGAUGCUGACGAGUGGCGAACGGGUGAGUAAUACAUCGGAACGUGCCUAGUAGUGGGGGAUAACUACUCGAAAGAGUGGCUAAUACCGCAUGAGAUCUACGGAUGAAAGCAGGGGAUCGCAAGACCUUGUGCUACUAGAGCGGCCGAUGGCAGAUUAGGUAGUUGGUGGGAUAAAAGCUUACCAAGCCGACGAUCUGUAGCUGGUCUGAGGAGGACGAUCAGCCACACUGGGACUGAGACACGGCCCAGACUCCUACGGGAGGCAGCAGUGGGGAAUUUUGGACAAUGGGCGCAAGCCUGAUCCAGCAAUGCCGCGUGCAGGAUGAAGGCCUUCGGGUUGUAAACUGCUUUUGUACGGAACGAAAAGCCCUGGGUUAAUACCCUGGGGUCAUGACGGUACCGUAAGAAUAAGCACCGGCUAACUACGUGCCAGCCGCCGCCGUGAUAC
rnacentral:rRNA from 1 species